rnacentral:rRNA from 1 species
CUUAGAGUUUGAUCCUGGCUCACGAUGAACGCUGGCGGCAUGCCUAAUACAUGCAAGUCGAACGGGGUGCUUGCACCCAGUGGCGAACGGGUGAGUAACACGUAUCUAAUCUACCUUUUAGUGGGGGAUAACAGUUGGAAACGACUGCUAAUACCGCAUACGACGUCAUUAUCGCAUGAGAAGACGUUAAAAGAUCCGUUUAGACCACUAGAAGAUGAAGAUGCGGCGUAUUAUCUAGUAGGUGAGGUAAUGGCUCACCUAGGCGAUGAUACGUAGCCGAACUGAGAGGUUGAUCGGCCACAUUGGGACUGAGAUACGGCCCAGACUCCUACGGGAGGCAGCAUUAGGGAAUUUUUCACAAUGGACGAAAGUCUGAUGAAGCAAUGCCGCGUGAGUGAUGACGGUCUUCGGAUUGUAAAGCUCUGUUGUAAGGGAAGAAAUGGUAGGAUAGGAAAUGAUCCUGCUUUGACGGUACCUUACCAGAAAGCCACGGCUAACUAUGUGCCAGCAGCCGCGGUAAUACAUAGGUGGGCAAGCGUUAUCCGGAUUUAUUGGGCGUACAGGGUGCGUACGUGGGUUCGAUAAGUUUAGGGUUAAAUCCCGGGGGCUCAACCCCGGUUCGCCUUGAAAACUGUCGUACUAGAAUACAGAAGAAGGUAGAUGGAAUUCCAUGUGUAGCGGUGAAAUGCCUAGA